rnacentral:rRNA from 1 species
UACGUAGGGUGCGAGCGUUAAUCGGAAUUACUGGGCGUAAAGCGUGCGCAGGCGGUUCGUUAUGUCCGAUGUGAAAGCCCCGAGCUCAACUUGGGAAUGGCAUUGGAAACUGGCGGGCUGGAGUGGUGGCAGAGGGGGGUGGGAAUUCCACGUGUAGCAGUGAAAUGCGUAGAGAUGUGGAGGAACACCGAUGGCGAAGGCAGCCCCCUGGGCCAACAUUGACGCUCAUGCACGAAAGCGUGGGGAGCAAACAGG